UUCUGCUAUCUCUGGUUGGCUUGGAGACUGUCACAUCCUAGUGGGUAAAGACCUGGCCUCACUUAUCAUGCCUUUGUCACCUCUCGGUUGGACUACGGCAAUAUAGCAUACCUCAGAAUGAAAUCUUCAGUACUUAGUAAACUCGAACUGAUACAAAAUGCUGCAGUGCAUCUCCUCAGCGACAGAGGCUUCAUGAUCACAUCACACCUGUCUUCCACUCUCUACACUGGUUCCUAUAGAAUUUCAAAUCAAGUUUAAAGUCUUAGUCCUUAUCUUCAAAGUGCUCCAUGUCCUGGGCCCAGGAUACCUAAAAGACCGUUUACAGCUCUAAGAUGAAGACAGUGGUUGACAGCUCUCCCUGGCACAGUGGAACUCUCAACAAUAAGAUUUGCACUGACUGCUUUUUGAAGGUGUUGAAAUUAAACUUUUCAGAAAAUUCCCCUCUGCUGAUGUUUGAUCCAAACCACAGCACCUUUGCCCCAGGUCAGCAGUAAUUACCUA